GGUCAGGAGGUUUAUUGGGCCUAAAGCAUCCGUAGCCGGUUGCAUAAGUUUUCGGUUAAAUCUAUGCGCUUAACGUAUAGGCCGCCGAAAAUACUGUGCAGCUAGGGAGUGGGAGAGGUACACGGUACUCGAUAGGAAGGGGUAAAAUCNNNNNNUCUAUUGAUGACCACCUGUGGCGAAGGCGGUGUNNCCGAACACGUUCGACGGUGAGGGAUGAAAGCUGGGGGAGCAAACCGGAUUAGAUACCCGGGUAGUCCCAGCUGUAAACGAUGCAGACUCGGUGAUGCAUUGGCUUGUGGCCAAUGCAGUGCCGCAGGGAAGCCGUUAAGUCUGCCGCCUGGGAAGUACGUACGCAAGUAUGAAACU
rnacentral:rRNA from 1 species